rnacentral:lncRNA from 1 species
AUGGAAACUCUCUGGAUCUAUUACAAAAUGAUCACUCUUUCCCUACUUCUGCCAAAGCUUUGAGAAUAUUUUUCUUGGCUCUUCAUUAUGAGAACGCACUGGGGCUCCUGGAGGUACAGUCCUCAAACCUGUGUCCUUCCUCCUCACCCAAGACGCCAGCCCUCAAGGUUUCUCACUCUCGUGCCGGUCCAUGCUCAGCCUCUAGCAAUUCAUCAAAAUUACCACGUAUUAAAAUUACUUGACAGUUCCAUUAUCCGGCUAAACUCCUAUUGGACUGAAGCAAGCAACAGUUCUGAAUGCUUUUUGUCCUGAAGAACUUGGCUUGAGAUAAUUAUUGGCUGAGCUUGAAGUUGAGUAACUGGAACAUGAAAGUAGGGCUGCUCAGAAGAGGGCCAGCAAGCCCCGCCUGCUGCCUUAGACAAUGUGUGUCCUCAUCAGAGUCCUACUCAAGAAUUCAUGUCAUCAAAAAUGCUGCCAUAUCUGGCUGUGGGACCUAGGUCUGUGCAGCCGUCUUGCCACUUUGAGGAAGCUGGCCUGAAGAUAUGUCCACAUAAUGACGAUGGCAGAGCAGAAAUAAAGGCACGACAUGGAGAAGCUGUGUUGACCAAUCUUCAGGUUAUCCUGCCUCAAGCCUCUUUUUAUAAUUCCAGUGAGCUGACUUUCAGAGUUCUCGCGCUGGCAGUGUCCCCAGGGCUUGCAUUAGGUGCGUGCACUUUCUUCUGCUCCAGCUGCAAAGAUACUCCAAAGCAAGACUCCACCACAGUUGUGUGCUGCCGGCGGACAGCAGAUGACUCGCCAGGCUGCCCUCUGGGUCUCCAGCAUUCACAGACACAGAAGCACAUCUGUUUACCACCCUAUGCCCAGUGCCUGGCCCAUGGUCAGGCCUUCAUUUUUAAGCCUCUGGGGAGAAACAGCAUAUGGAGGAGGAAGUCUCAAGAGAUGAAAAUUCAUCUGCCCUGUGGCCUUAAAAGGGAGAAAUGGAGGAGUCAAUGUCAAAGGUUAAUCAGCGUCCACCAGUUGAUCCAGCCAUUCACCUCUCAAGGUUUCUGAGCUGCUCUCUGGAUACUGCAGGAAUCCAGACCAUUGCUCAGGAUGGAAACACCAUGCUUACCUUCAUUUAUUCACCAUUACGGACAUAUCCCUCAGGAUACAGCCAGUUUCUCCUCUCUUCUCACAACUUCCUCAGAAAAAAGUUGGAAGUCCAUAAAAUUAGACUCUUGCAUUUCAUAGAGGUAUCUCGCUUUUGUAAACGGUGUAGUUCUCUGAAUUCCAGAAGGCCUGUAUUCACAGCUAUUUAUAGAAAAAGAGUUGCUUGCAAAAAUAAAAGCAGAAUGAUUUUUUUCAAAAACAUAAAUUUGGAAAUGUAACAACCAGUUGUCCAAGUAUCUAUUGAAAGGAGGUCUGUUAGUUCUCUAACAGUUUUAAUGCAGGUGGUAUCAUUUGAAGUUAAUAAAAUUGUUGGAGCUGGUAUACUUACUACUGGUUGGUAAUUUGUUCAUGAUCAUAAGCAAGUGAUGACCAAUCAAACUUUUGAAUUCUGAAAGCU